rnacentral:misc_RNA from 1 species
GAUGAAGAACGUAGCAAAAUGCGAUAAGUAAUGUGAAUUGCAGAAUUCAGUGAAUCAUCGAAUCUUUGAACGCACAUUGCGCCCGCCAGUAUUCUGGCGGGCAUGCCUGUUCGAGCGUCAUUUCAACCCUCAAGCACAGCUUGGUGUUGGGACUCGCGUUAAUUCGCGUUCCUCAAAUUGAUUGGCGGUCACGUCGAGCUUCCAUAGCGUAGUAGUAAAACCCUCGUUACUGGUAAUCGUCGCGGCCACGCCGUUAAACCCCAACUUCUGAAUGUUGACCUCGGAUCAGGUAGGAAUACCCGCUGAACUUAAGUAUAUCAAUAAGCGGAGGA